UACGUAGGGGGCAAGCGUUGUCCGGAAUCAUUGGGCGUAAAGCGCGUGUAGGCGGUCCGGUAAGUCCGCUGUGAAAGUCGGGGGCUCAACCCUCGGAUGCCGGUGGAUACUGUCGGGCUUGAGUACGGAAGAGGUGAGUGGAAUUCCUGGUGUAGCGGUGAAAUGCGCAGAUAUCAGGAGGAACACCAAUGGCGAAGGCAGCUCACUGGGACGGUAUUGACGCUGAGACGCGAAAGCGUGGGGAGCAAACAGG
rnacentral:rRNA from 1 species